GAAUGAAACGAUAGAUUAUUUAGAAUAUUUACAAGGACUUGUAGAGAAAGCAAAGGAAGUUACACGUUUACUUUUGGAGAAACAUGUGACCAAAGGAAAGAAUAUUUCUUCUUUACUUAUGAAACAUAGACAUUCGAUAUUCCAUAUGUACGAACGAAAACCAUGCUGCGAGUGCUCUGCAGUCAUCCCAGGUGGAUCUGAAAUCCGUAGGUUACGACGAAAUGAGUUUGAAAGAAUGUUUGAGAAAAUAGAAAUUACAUGUAAAUAUAGACAAAAGCAGGGUGCUUGCAUUUGUGUUUGGAACGCAAGACAAGAUGUUAGUGAAAGAUAUCUUCCGUUUCCAGUUAUCAUAUACCUUCUGGGUUAUAGUUCUGUAACUUACAACUAUGAGAGACAGUUAAACAGAAUGAAGUCGACACUCGUUCAGAUGAAUAAACUAGGACAAAGACUUGAAAUGAUUGAUUUCUACAAAAUAUGGAAAUCGUUAGGUGAUGAUAUUUUAUACAUGGCUAAUGUAAUUAGUAAGCAGUAUAAGGAAACAAUUGAUACUGAUAUCCAGUCGUUUAGGCCUAAUUUAUCUCCGUUUGAGUUAUCUGUUCUCGACUUUAUGAAUGAAAUGAACAUAUCGAUUACAGAUGGUUUGAGUAAAUUCCAAACGGAAAUUCAGAUAUUAAGAAAAGAUAUGGAAGCACACAUAUUUGAAAGACAACUUCCAGUGCGAGAGGUCCCCACGAAAGCAAGCUUAGUACAGGAUUUAAGAAUUGAUUUAGGACAUCAAAUACUAGAUUUGAGACAAUAUAUCGGUAAGGAAGUACAAGACUUAAAACACGAUAUCGGCAAUCUAAGGACGAUUCAAGAUUCAAACGAACUCGCUGACACGGUAGGUUUAAAAUAAAUGUCCAGGUUCUUCUUUCAUUGUAA